rnacentral:ncRNA from 2 species
GCUGCGGCAAUAGAUUUUACCUGUAUAUGUUCAGAGAUAGGGUCUGAGCGUUUCUACCUGGCUGCCGUAAAUAGCUUGACUACAGGGGAUAUAGCUUGUUCG